AACAUGAUAUCUGUGUCAUCAAGUAUUAUAGUCAAACUUUACUUUUUUCUACAUUGUUAAAAAUGGUAAGUGAACUUUAAAAAUAUCAUCUACUAUGUUUCUGUUAGUUUUUAUUAUUACAAGGCUUCUUUCACAGAAGUUUGGCAGUAAUAUUGAAGGAACUAGUAUUGAGCUGAAAAUUUUAAGGUACUUUGUAUUCUUUAAUUUUGAUUUCCAUACACCAUGUUAAGAACUAUGAAUUUUGGCUUUUACUAAAGUUAAAUAAAGUUACAAUACAGUUGUAAAAGGCUAGAGUUGAUCACGUUAGAAUAUUGUCCAAAUUAUCUAAUCCUUUCCUUAAAAGAGUGUAUAAAUUUAAAGCAGUGUAUAAAUUCAUAAAUUUAAUCUCUAGGCUUGUAUACUUCUUGGGAAGUAUUUUUUAUGGUGUGGCAUUUAAUACCAUCUAAUCAUAAGUUAAGCUUGAUAGCUUCCAAUUUUCUAUAGCCAAAUAAUAGGUACAGCAUUUAGAUUUAGGCAAGAUGUGUCCAAGGUUGGCUAUAGGAUUUGAAAUGUCUGAAAAGCCUGACCAGGAAAAAGUUAAAGAGUUUUACCUUUUAAGUGUAAACACAACAAGUUGAAAUACUUUCAAAUACUUGUGUUGUUGGGUAAACAAAAACCUUUUCAAUUCUGAGUGUUCUUUAUAGAGUAUUUCUUAAACCAGGAAAAGAAGAUUCCCCCUACUAUUGAUGUCUCCUAUGUGAUAUAAACCAAUAUGAUUUUGCAGAAUACAGUGAGCACUGAGGUGACAAAUUCCCUCAUCAGGAAGCAUUUUUAAAAAAAGGAAUAAUAGUCAAGAGCAGACCUGCCUAUACUCCUGAGGCUGAAACAGCAAAUAGUAAAUAAAGUUUCUGCCCCUGGAAGAUUUAGUCAUCUUUGGAAGCCUCAACAGAAAGUUUUUCUUUGCAUAUGAAUGAAGCAGCAUUAUCAGUAAGGUAUAGACUUUAAUUAAGCAUCUGAAACUGAUUGUGAUCAAAGGAAGAACAGGACCUGUCUGGUUUGGAUCCCUUCAUAACAUCAGUGCUUGUAGGCUCCAGAUUUCUUGGCCUUGAGAAAAAGAAGUUAAAGGUGGCAUAAAGGAGACAAAACACACUGAUUGCACUUACUAGUCAGACUGCAGCCUUGGCAACAGAGAUAAGGAAAUGUAUCUAAUUAAUGAAGCCCAGCAGGAAAUCAGUAAUAACACUGACAGGAAAAACA